GAUGUUCGCGCAGCAGUAAACUGGGCUUGUACCCAGAAACUUUAAGCACGGGCCACGGUACCCACCUGGUAGAAUACCAGGUCAAAAGCUGAGGUAAGACGGCGUUGCGGGGAGCCA
rnacentral:sRNA from 1 species